AGAGUUUUUUUCUGGCUCAGGAUGAACGCUAGCGGCAGGCUUAACACAUGCAAGUCGAGGGGCAUCGGGAGGGAAGCUUGCUUUCCUUGCCGGCGACCGGCGCACGGGUGAGUAACACGUAUGCAACCCUGCCCUCUUCAGGGGGACAACCUUCCGAAAGGGAGGCUAAUCCCGCGUAUAUCGGUUUCGGGCAUCCGAGAUCGAGGAAAGAUUCAUCGGAAGAGGAUGGGCAUGCGGCGCAUUAGCUAGACGGCGGGGUAACGGCCCACCGUGGCGACGAUGCGUGGGGGUUCUGAGAGGAAGGUCCCCCACACUGGUACUGAGACACGGACCAGACUCCUACGGGAGGCAGCAGUGAGGAAUAUUGGUCAAUGGGAGAGAUCCUGAACCAGCCAAGCCGCGUGAGGGAAGACGGCCCUAUGGGUUGUAAACCUCUUUUGUCGGAGAACAAAACCCGGGACGAGUCCCGGACUGCGUGUAUCCGAAGAAAAAGCAUCGGCUAACUCCGUGCCAGCAGCCGCGGUAAUACGGAGGAUGCGAGCGUUAUCCGGAUUUAUUGGGUUUAAAGGGUGCGUAGGCGGUCCGUUAAGUCAGCGGUAAAAUUGCGGGGCUCAACCCCGUCGAGCCGUUGAAACUGGCAGACUUGAGUUGGCGAGAAGUACGCGGAAUGCGCGGUGUAGCGGUGAAAUGCAUAGAUAUCGCGCAGAACUCCGAUUGCGAAGGCAGCGUACCGGCGCCAGACUGACGCUGAGGCACGAAAGCGUGGGGAUCGAACAGGAUUAGAUACCCUGGUAGUCCACGCAGUAAACGAUGAAU
rnacentral:rRNA from 1 species